rnacentral:rRNA from 1 species
CUACGGGGUGCUGCAGUGGGGAAUAUUGCACAAUGGAGGAAACUCUGAUGCAGCAACGCCGCGUGGAGGAUGACACUUUUCGGAGCGUAAACUCCUUUUAUAUAGGAAGAUAAUGACGGUACUAUAUGAAUAAGCACCGGCUAACUCCGUGCCAGCAGCCGCGGUAAUACGGAGGGUGCAAGCGUUACUCGGAAUCGCUGGGCGUAAAGAGCGUGUAGGCGGGUUAAUAAGUCAGAAGUGAAAUCCUAUGGCUCAACCAUAGAACUGCUUUUGAAACUGUUAACCUAGAAUAUGGGAGAGGUAGAUGGAAUUUCUGGUGUAGGGGUAAAAUCCGUAGAGAUCAGAAGGAAUACCGAUUGCGAAGGCGAUCUACUGGAACAUUAUUGACGCUGAGACGCGAAAGCGUGGGGAGCAAACAGGAUUAGAUACCCUCGUAGUC